rnacentral:tRNA from 1 species
GUAUAGCUCAGUGGUAGAGUGUGUGCUUGGCAUGCAUGAGGUCCUGGGUUCAGUCCCCACCCAGUGC